GGUUUCGUAGCUCAAUUGGUUAGGGCAUCGACCUGAUACGUCGAAGGUUGAAGGUUCGAGUCCUUCCGAAACUA
rnacentral:tRNA from 1 species